UGCCCAGCAACUCCUAUCCCUACCUCCACGCGGUACCGGCCGGAAACUAUGAGCAACCUUAGGGAAGAUCGGGUAACCAACCCCGGUGGGAACUUUGGUCGUAGGCUGGCAGGGAAGG
rnacentral:ribozyme from 1 species